GAAGAGUUUGAUCAUGGCUCAGAUUGAACGCUGGCGGCAGGCCUAACACAUGCAAGUCGAACGGUAACAGGAAGCAGCUUGCUGCUUUGCUGACGAGUGGCGGACGGGUGAGUAAUGUCUGGGAAACUGCCUGAUGGAGGGGGAUAACUACUGGAAACGGUGGCUAAUACCGCAUAACGUCGCAAGACCAAAGAGGGGGACCUUCGGGCCUCUUGCCAUCAGAUGUGCCCAGAUGGGAUUAGCUUGUUGGUGAGGUAACGGCUCACCAAGGCGACGAUCCCUAGCUGGUCUGAGAGGAUGACCAGCCACACUGGAACUGAGACACGGUCCAGACUCCUACGGGAGGCAGCAGUGGGGAAUAUUGCACAAUGGGCGCAAGCCUGAUGCAGCCAUGCCGCGUGUAUGAAGAAGGCCUUCGGGUUGUAAAGUACUUUCAGCGGGGAGGAAGGUGUUGUGGUUAAUAACCGCAGCAAUUGACGUUACCCGCAGAAGAAGCACCGGCUAACUCCGUGCCAGCAGCCGCGGUAAUACGGAGGGUGCAAGCGUUAAUCGGAAUUACUGGGCGUAAAGCGCACGCAGGCGGUCUGUCAAGUCGGAUGUGAAAUCCCCGGGCUCAACCUGGGAACUGCAUUCGAAACUGGCAGGCUUGAGUCUUGUAGAGGGGGGUAGAAUUCCAGGUGUAGCGGUGAAAUGCGUAGAGAUCUGGAGGAAUACCGGUGGCGAAGGCGGCCCCCUGGACAAAGACUGACGCUCAGGUGCGAAAGCGUGGGGAGCAAACAGGAUUAGAUACCCUGGUAGUCCACGCCGUAAACGAUGUCUACUUGGAGGUUGUGCCCUUGAGGCGUGGCUUCCGGAGCUAACGCGUUAAGUAGACCGCCUGGGGAGUACGGCCGCAAGGUUAAAACUCAAAUGAAUUGACGGGGGCCCGCACAAGCGGUGGAGCAUGUGGUUUAAUUCGAUGCAACGCGAAGAACCUUACCUGGUCUUGACAUCCACAGAACUUUCCAGAGAUGGAUUGGUGCCUUCGGGAACUGUGAGACAGGUGCUGCAUGGCUGUCGUCAGCUCGUGUUGUGAAAUGUUGGGUUAAGUCCCGCAACGAGCGCAACCCUUAUCCUUUGUUGCCAGCGGUCCGGCCGGGAACUCAAAGGAGACUGCCAGUGAUAAACUGGAGGAAGGUGGGGAUGACGUCAAGUCAUCAUGGCCCUUACGACCAGGGCUACACACGUGCUACAAUGGCGCAUACAAAGAGAAGCGACCUCGCGAGAGCAAGCGGACCUCAUAAAGUGCGUCGUAGUCCGGAUUGGAGUCUGCAACUCGACUCCAUGAAGUCGGAAUCGCUAGUAAUCGUGGAUCAGAAUGCCACGGUGAAUACGUUCCCGGGCCUUGUACACACCGCCCGUCACACCAUGGGAGUGGGUUGCAAAAGAAGUAGGUAGCUUAACCUUCGGGAGGGCGCUUACCACUUUGUGAUUCAUGACUGGGGUGAAGUCGUAACAAGGUAACCGUAGGGGAACCUGCGGUUGGA
rnacentral:rRNA from 1 species